ACCAGUUAUUUUCUCCUAUUGGUUGUGACAGGGUCAAUGAUGGAUACAUUGUUCUUGAGUAGUUGAGCGGCAAAGUAUAUUAUGCGCAAGUCGAGGAUGAAUAGGAUCCCUUCGCCUUUAACAGGUUCGAGCCCUGGUUAUGGAAAGAAUCUUGUUAGGGAGCGCUUCUCCCUUAAAUGGGCCUUACUCGACGCGAAUCCGGAUAUAGUCGAGCUUCAAUGCGGUACCAGACACCGGGUGAAAAAAUUUUGGGGAAUAACCAUGGAACUGAUGCUGCAACAGAUGCCAGUACCAGUCCGAAUGAUGCUCCAACGACCACUAGGGA